AGACCACCUGCACCAUCUCUUGCUGGGUGAGAGCCACUCUCUGCAGACGUAGUCACAGCUGGUAUUUCACCAGCAGAUGCCAUGAUUCAAUUCCACCAUAAUGACAUUGGGUAGUCUUUGUCAACUCUCCUGCUUGUCAGAAGGAUGUAAAAACACUUCAGAAACAUACUGGAAAUCUUCAUGAGUAGGUCACAUGAUGAUCAACUCUGUGGUUGGAAGUCAGGAAUCUUCAAAGGAGUGGGAUGAUUCUGCAAGAACUCCCACAUUCUUAGUGAUUGCACAGUACAGUCUGAUCAACCCUCAUGAAAAGGACAGCUGCUUCAUCUCGAUAAACCCAUCGUCAUAAAUCACACGAUGGAAUAUUACACAGCAAUGACAAGGAAUGAACAACGGGCCAUAAAACCACAUGAGUAAAGUUCAAAAACAUUCUGUGGAGUUGAAAAGUACGUGGUGUAGGAGUCAAUUUAUGAAAUUCAAGAACAUGUAGAGCAUGGUAUGACAGAAGUCAG
rnacentral:lncRNA from 1 species